rnacentral:rRNA from 1 species
UACAGAGGGUGCGAGCGUUAAUCGGAAUUACUGGGCGUAAAGCGUGCGUAGACGGUUAUUUAAGUCGGGUGUGAAAGCCCCGGGCUCAACCUGGGAAUUGCAUUCGAGACUGAAUAGCUAGGGUACGGUAAAGGGAAGCGGAAUUUCCGGUGUAGCGGUGAAAUGCGUAGAUAUCGGAAGGAACAUCAGUGGCGAAAGCGGCUUCCUGGACCAGUACCGACGUUCAGGCACGAAAGCGUGGGGAGCAAACAGG